UUUGAACUAUCACCUCUUUUGCUGUUUGCAAAUUGCUGGAUGUUUUCUCGGUGCGUUUGCUUUCUCUUAUGCCUGUAAAUCUUCUUUUUUCUUACGUCGAACUAUUUACAGUUAAUCGCUUGCGGCAUGAUCCAAUGCCCAUCUCUUGUGUGCCAUCUCCAGACAAUUAAGAUAACUUUGCGUAUAAAUUUGUAAAAUUUGGCUAUUACCGAAAUUAAAAUGCUGGUACGUUGCUAGUAGGAGUUACCCACCACCAUACCUAUUUGUUACCAGAAAGCCCACAAUUAUCGAAGGCAAUAUAGCCCAACAACAAAGAACUAAUUUGAACUCAGGAGGUUGAACGAGAGGCCUAGAGCUGAGAGCCCACUCAAUGAGAA